rnacentral:rRNA from 1 species
UACGUAGGGGGCAAGCGUUGUCCGGAAUCAUUGGGCGUAAAGAGCUCGUAGGCGGUUCGAUAAGUCGGGUGUGAAACCUCCAGGCUCAACCUGGAGACGCCACCCGAUACUGUCGUGACUAGAGUCCAGUAGGGGAGCGUGGAAUUCCUGGUGUAGCGGUGAAAUGCGUAGAUAUCGAGAGGAACACCUGCGGCGAAGGCGGGUUGCUGGGCUGACACUGACGCUGAUGCGCGAAAGCUAGGGGAGCGAACGGG